UGGGGAAUUUUGGACAAUGGGCGCAAGCCUGAUCCAGCCAUGCCGCGUGAGUGACGAAGGCCUUAGGGUUGUAAAGCUCUUUUGGCGGGGAAGAUAAUGACGGUACCCGCAGAAUAAGCUCCGGCUAACUUCGUGCCAGCAGCCGCGGUAAUACGAAGGGAGCUAGCGUUGUUCGGAAUCACUGGGCGUAAAGCGCACGUAGGUGGAUAGUUAAGUGAGGGGUGAAAGCCCGAGGCUCAACCUCGGAAUUGCCUCUCAUACUGGCUGUCUCGAGUCCGAGAGAGGUGGGUGGAAUUCCUAGUGUAGAGGUGAAAUUCGUAGAUAUUAGGAAGAACACCGGUGGCGAAGGCGGCCCACUGGCUCGGUACUGACACUGAGGUGCGAAAGCGUGGGGAGCAAACAGGAUUAGAUACCCCCGUAGUCCCUGAGCGGGCUGGCAAGGCGCAU
rnacentral:rRNA from 1 species